GCGGCGUGCUUAACACAUGCAAGUCGAACGGUGAAGCCAAGCUUGCUUGGUGGAUCAGUGGCGAACGGGUGAGUAACACGUGAGCAACCUGCCCUGGACUCUGGGAUAAGCGCUGGAAACGGCGUCUAAUACUGGAUAUGUGACGUGAUCGCAUGGUCGUGUUUGGAAAGAUUUUUCGGUCUGGGAUGGGCUCGCGGCCUAUCAGCUUGUUGGUGAGGUAAUGGCUCACCAAGGCGUCGACGGGUAGCCGGCCUGAGAGGGUGACCGGCCACACUGGGACUGAGACACGGCCCAGACUCCUACGGGAGGCAGCAGUGGGGAAUAUUGCACAAUGGGCGGAAGCCUGAUGCAGCAACGCCGCGUGAGGGAUGACGGCCUUCGGGUUGUAAACCUCUUUUAGCAGGGAAGAAGCGAAAGUGACGGUACCUGCAGAAAAAGCGCCGGCUAACUACGUGCCAGCAGCCGCGGUAAUACGUAGGGCGCAAGCGUUAUCCGGAAUUAUUGGGCGUAAAGAGCUCGUAGGCGGUUUGUCGCGUCUGCUGUGAAAUCCCGAGGCUCAACCUCGGGCCUGCAGUGGGUACGGGCAGACUAGAGUGCGGUAGGGGAGAUUGGAAUUCCUGGUGUAGCGGUGGAAUGCGCAGAUAUCAGGAGGAACACCGAUGGCGAAGGCAGAUCUCUGGGCCGUAACUGACGCUGAGGAGCGAAAGGGUGGGGAGCAAACAGGCUUAGAUACCCUGGUAGUCCACCCCGUAAACGUUGGGAACUAGUUGUGGGGACCAUUCCACGGUUUCCGUGACGCAGCUAACGCAUUAAGUUCCCCGCCUGGGGAGUACGGCCGCAAGGCUAAAACUCAAAGGAAUUGACGGGGACCCGCACAAGCGGCGGAGCAUGCGGAUUAAUUCGAUGCAACGCGAAGAACCUUACCAAGGCUUGACAUAUACGAGAACGGGCCAGAAAUGGUCAACU
rnacentral:rRNA from 1 species